rnacentral:lncRNA from 1 species
GACACACACACACACACACACACACUCUCUCUCUCUUUCCGUCUGUCUUUCUUUCUAUCUCUCAGUUAGUAAUAAUGGAGCCCAGCAGUCCGAAGAAGAUCCAGUUUGCUGCAACCUCCGCUGCAGGGACAGCUGGACCCACAGGCCGCCGAACAUAUCCGUCGCAGAAGACCAACUCCUGCCACUCUGCAGAUCUACAGACUACCUGGCACAGAUGUUGGAGAUCAACACAACGCCGGCGGAGAGUCACAGGUUCGUAUGUUGUUCUCACAGAUGCAGGGAGAGAACCUCAGAGAGAACCUCAGAGAGAACCUCAGAGAGAACCUCAGAGAGAACCUCAGAGAGAACCUCAGAGAGAACCUCAGAGAGAACCUCAGACACGCACAUCUGUAGUAACCUCAAAAGUCCUUUCAAAAUAA